GUCCACGCCUAACGAUGAGAACUGGAUGUCGGGAGGGUCUGCCUUCCGGUGUCGUAGCUAACGCGUUAAGUUCUCCGCCUGGGAAGUACGGCCGCAAGGUUGAACUCAAAGGAAUUGACGGGACCCGCACAAGCGGUGGAGCAUGUGGUUCAAUUCGAUGCAACGCGAAGAACCUUACCUGGUCUUGACAUCCCAGGAAUCCUGCAGAGAUGCGGGAGUGCCUUCGGGAGCCUGGAGACAGGUGCUGCAUGGCUGUCGU
rnacentral:rRNA from 1 species